rnacentral:rRNA from 1 species
CGGGACACGUGGUAUCCUGUCUGAAUAUGGGGGGACCAUCCUCCAAGGCUAAAUACUCCUGACUGACCGAUAGUGAACCAGUACCGUGAGGGAAAGGCGAAAAGAACCCCGGCGAGGGGAGUGAAAAAGAACCUGAAACCGUGUACGUACAAGCAGUGGGAGCCUCUUUAUGGGGUGACUGCGUACCUUUUGUAUAAUGGGUCAGCGACUUAUAUUCUGUAGCAAGGUUAACCGAAUAGGGGAGCCGAAGGGAAACCGAGUCUUAACUGGGCGUUAAGUUGCAGGGUAUAGACCCGAAACCCGGUGAUCUAGCCAUGGGCAGGUUGAAGGUUGGGUAACACUAACUGGAGGACCGAACCGACUAAUGUUGAAAAAUUAGCGGAUGACUUGUGGCUGGGGGUGAAAGGCCAAUCAAACCGGGAGAUAGCUGGUUCUCCCCGAAAGCUAUUUAGGUAGCGCCUCGUGAAUUCAUCUCCGGGGGUAGAGCACUGUUUCGGCAAGGGGGUCAUCCCGACUUACCAACCCGAUGCAAACUGCGAAUACCGGAGAAUGUUAUCACGGGAGACACACGGCGGGUGCUAACGUCCGUCGUGAAGAGGGAAACAACCCAGACCGCCAGCUAAGGUCCCAAAGUCAUGGUUAAGUGGGAAACGAUGUGGGAAGGCCCAGACAGCCAGGAUGUUGGCUUAGAAGCAGCCAUCAUUUAAAGAAAGCGUAAUAGCUCACUGGUCGAGUCGGCCUGCGCGGAAGAUGUAACGGGGCUAAACCAUGCACCGAAGCUGCGGCAGCGACACUAUGUGUUGUUGGGUAGGGGAGCGUUCUGUAAGCCUGCGAAGGUGUACUGUGAGGUAUGCUGGAGGUAUCAGAAGUGCGAAUGCUGACAUAAGUAACGAUAAAGCGGGUGAAAAGCCCGCUCGCCGGAAGACCAAGGGUUCCUGUCCAACGUUAAUCGGGGCAGGGUGAGUCGACCCCUAAGGCGAGGCCGAAAGGCGUAGUCGAUGGGAAACAGGUUAAUAUUCCUGUACUUGGUGUUACUGCGAAGGGGGGACGGAGAAGGCUA